GACCGAAAGGGACUGGUGUGGACACAGUGGGGCAGCACGGGACAUUAAGAGACGUGUGGGGCGUCGAGGGACAGAGUCUCACACCGCGGGGCAGAGCGGCACAGCACGGGACAAGGUGGCCAUCCUGUGUGAGGGCCUUUCAUGAGCCCUCCUAACGCGGGUCUGCCCGGCCACCUCUCCUCCGACACGUGUUUGAAAGUCAAGGCCAGGCCCUGUGGCCGUUGACCCGUGGCUUCCAGGAGGAGCCCCCCCAGCCCCAACCGGGCCUCGCCUUCGGUCUCCGAUCUCGAGUUACUUAUUAGACCCACGCUGCUCUCCGCAUCUCCGGGCAUGCGGGUAGCCGGCGAUGCCCAAGGACAAACACCAGCUAGCCUGCAGGAGGAGGCUUCUCCCCUGGAAGCGAUAAUUGCCAGAGCAACCAAUCCAAACACACCCCUUCUUUAGAGAAAGAAGAUCCACGGGAUACUCGCUCUACGGUUGUCAGCCGUAUGGUGUCCCGUUUUGGGAAGCUGUCAAAAAUCAUAAAAUCACUGACUUCAUCUUGAGGUUCUUCAGUGGCAUGAUGGCUGCCCGCAGCUCUGAGG